GUUACACACUGCAGUGGCUUUGUAUCCUUUGGCUCUGUUCAGUGCUACAGAAAUCCUACAACAGCCAGUGAGCUAAACUCUUCCAAUGACUUUGUCAUUUGCCUGCUUGAAAACUACAAUGAGAGGAGGAUCCAGGACUAACAGAUAUGUAUGUAGAUGGGUAUUAGAAUUUGUUUAGUGGUGAACAGUCUGUCUGAGUUCAC
rnacentral:lncRNA from 1 species